CUCCCCCUCCAUGUCUGAUUGUGUUCUGAGGGCUUCCAGACUUGUGUGGAAUCAGUACACCGUGAUCUCACAGUCAUCUCUGGACCUCCCUCAGUCGCUGCUGCUGCUCCGGCUGCCACCUCACCAACAGACGGAAUACCGGGAGUCUGCAAUUUGUGAUCUGCAGCAGUCAUCCCCAGCACCAGAGACUUAUACCACUCACAGGAGAGAUUUUCUGAGUGAAUGGGCUGGAAAUAUCACACCUAGGUCAGUGUGGAGUAAGAUAUCCCUUUACUUCGCUGCACCUGAAUCAAAGCUUCUAAGCAAGUAUUGUGUAGGGAGUACAGGGGUCAGUGAGGAAGGCAUCAAGUCUUUUCAUCAGAGAAAAAUUAUGUUAUAAAGCUUAAGCUCCUUCAAAGGCUUUCAGUGAAAAAAAACCAAAAGUUCUGCUAAAGGUAGAACAGAAAGAAAACCCAGACAACCUCCUCUAAUUAUUAAUCAAAAUUAUCAGAGAGAUACACAUAUUUGACUGACUACAGCAAAUUUUCUGGAUUGUUUUGGUUUUGGAGGAGCUAGUUGAUCAGAGAUUUUUUUUUCAGUUUCAAAGGACUAGACUCCCCCUGACCAUGUGAAUCUAUGAUGGAAUGUGAUUUAAACUCACAGUUAGAGAUGGUAUUGAUUAUUUUGCCUGAUAUGAGGAUAGGAUGUCUUAUAUCUGAAUUUCUUUGCUCUAAAAACACACAGGUCUCUUCGUAAUCUACCUUCCAUACGCUGUGAGUGAAAGUGUUUGGGUUUUAGGGUAAUGGAAGAAAAAAAAUUAAAAUAAUGAACACUUAUGUGUGGAUGUGAGAUAGUUUGGGCAAGUCUUGUUAGUCAUAUUCUUACUAGAGACCAGAUUGUGUGUCAGACCGCCACACCUUCUCUUACAUUCUGCUGAAAUCAUUCAAUAUCUCAGAGAUGCUCCUGUAUCUAUAUUGUAGUCCAGAAAUAUGACAUUCACAGAUGGUAGAGGUCUCAUAAACUGGAAAUACCUUCCCCCACGAAAAAAGUCAUUAUGGAGAGCAAAGGCCAUUCCUUGCUGCACCUUCUCCUGUUUCUGGGAACAUACUAAUAAUCUGCAGCUGUGCUAGCUGGAGACGGGAGAAAAUGAAUAAAUUUGAGUGUAUUUUUCCUGUCCACUGCUCUCAAAAACUGCUUGUGCAAAGGAUGAGACAGAGUUCAGGUAUUUGGCCACCAGUAACUUCUCUGACAAGUUCAUGUCAACUCAAAUUCAAGAUUGACUAUCCCUGAAAAAAUUUUCAUUCCAGUUUGCCUACCAAAAUCUCUGUGUUAAUGAAGUAAUUUUCCAUGAAAAAUAUUAUACUCUGUUGAAUGCGAAAUUUGGAAGGUAUUUCAAAUGGCUUUGUUUUCAAGGUGGUAUUCUUUUCUCUUGCAUCUCCUGGGUAUAGGAACAGUCCUCCCUCCACAGCUCUGGAGAUUUGAGAACAGUCAGGCCUCUGGCUCUUACUUGCUCUGGUAUCUUAUUUUCCAUUUAAGUCUUUCUAAAACUGCUAAAUUAAGUAAUACAUGUUCUUUAUUCUCUUUUUACAUAUUUGGGCCAUAGCAUAUCUCUGGUCUUCUGUUUCUAGACUGUUACUAGGACUCUUCUAUCUACUUCACAGACACCCGGCCCACUUGCUGUCUGUAGUAUAAGUGACAGUGUUCUAUUUAAAAAAUAACACAUAUAUUAAACAAUUAGUUAUAGAGGUCAUGAUUUCAGUAUGUCAGUGAGAUUAAACUGUGCAUCUUCUUCAUGAUAAAAUUGAAUAUUUUUACCUCAUGGGUUUCACGUAAUUAUAAUAUUCAAAUAGAAUCGCUGCACUAGUCAAUCUUUAAAAAUCAAAUUCUGCAUGUGCUAUAUUUAAAACCCACAAGUUCAGUGUCUCUGAGAAAUAACCUCUGUUAUCUUCCAGUUUCAAAUUUGAAGGUAAAGAACUUUACUGUUUCUAUACUGCAAAUUCAAGUGGAAACUGCUUCAAAUGGGAGUGUCGUAAAAGAAUAAGCAGCUUCUCUUUUUUAGAAAAGAGGGUAGGAUUUUUUUCCAGCUCUGGAAAAGGGUUAUAAGAGUCUGAAAGAUCAUUUACAGAAGUAAUUCUUAAGUGUCUGUCUAUCUUAUCUUAAGAUAAAAACCCCACAGACACUGAACUUUCCUCCAGUUGCUACAUACAACAAAUGGAAGCAAUCUAUUUAGUUGAGAUAGCUGUCAGCUAGCCCAAACACUGCUUUGGGUGCUCAGGAGGUGUCUAUUAGCUUCAGUGUAUGUAGAGAAUGAGCCAGCUAGUCAUUUAGCUAUUGAUUUUAAUUAAGCUAAUCUAUUUAUAUACCAGCAGGCUGAUCUGUACCUGUGUUUGGUAGAAAAGUUGUUUAAAAUGAUCCCUGGUACUGCAAGCUCAACAUAUCUUCAUGACACUUUUCAGUCUUAAUUGAAUUUGUGUAAAUUGAAAUAUAUGUAUGUAUCUGUGUGUGUUAAUUUGCCUUUAGAGGGUGAUAUGAUAUGACUUUAAAAUUUUCUUUAUUUAACUAUUUCCUAUGUAAUUUUAAGUUCUCAAACUAUGAAUUAUUAUUUUCCUGUAAUUUUGGCAUUAUUUUAUCCAGUAGAGACAAUUUCUUCAUUACAGAGUUCUUCUUUUGAGUCCUUUCCUCUCAAAAAGAAAGCUUUAUAAAUAAUGGACCUUUUGACUUACUGCCUAACCAACAUCUUCUGUUGUU